CUUAACCUAAAUCCCUAGAGCAAUCAGCGAGCCGCCCAUCCUAUUUGGCCAUUCUCCAUUCUCUCCGGCACAGGAGUUGCGAGGCGGCGCGAUGAGGCGGCGACCUGCAGGUUUCAACGAUUGCGAGUUGCGAGGCGGUGAGAUCGUUUAUACUGCCUGAAGGGAUCUGUAGUUGCUGUGACUUCGGUGAGGCGAUCUGCGAAACGGCGAGGCGGUAGACUCCGGUGAGGCUCUUUUGCGAUAUGCUUUGCUCAGAUCCUAAAUUGGAUUCACAUUGUAUUAAAGAUAUUAUUGAUGAGGCAAUAGCAGCUGGUGAUCUGAAACUAACAAAAGCUUAUGAGAAAUGGGCAAACUAAGUAUACUGGACUUAAGAUUCUCCUUAUACCUAUUCAAGAAUUAGAAGAAUCAGAAAUCAAAGAACUUGUGCAGCAAUGAGAAAUGGGCAAACCAAGUCAUCACAUGAAAGGCGUGAAGACUGCUUCUGUUAGUCUAGCUCACACGUUUUACCAAUCAAAGACCAAAGAUCAGAGUUGAUAAAGAAAAUAAAAAGACGAAUUGCUACUGGUCUGAAUACGAAGUUAUAGAAGAUGCAACCUAUAGAGUUCUAAUUCGUAUUUUAUAUUUAAAUUUGUAUUUAAUGUAUUUCAUAUUCAUAUCUUCUCUAUUUGAUAUGUUUGAUGUUUCAAAAAAAAAAUCUGAAUAAUUUGGAAUGCUGAUGCUUUGGAUUUUAAACGUCCAUGAAUAAAAUAAUUAAGCUUUGGGAAUCA